AAUAAUCUCCACCCCCUGCCGAGGCUUCAACAUUAUAUCUAUCCCUCCUUGCUCUAGCGGGCAGCAAGAAGCACAGCACCGCCAGUUACCACGCAGACAUCCUGGGGAACUGAGGACAUUUCUUGAAGAGAUGUGAACAAAGGCCUGCUCGUCCAGAUAGUGUCCCGAGGACAAACCAAAGAAGUCAUCCCACCUAAGUCCAGCUUGGAGCCAGUGACUUUAUAGAAGGGUGACCUACAGGACCAUGGGUGACUCGGGACAGCUGUAUCAUCAAGCCACUCCACCAUGAAAGCUGCAUCCCUGGAUCUCACUGUGCAGCAUGCAGGUAACCCCUCUGCCCACCACCUACCAGAGGUAGUGGAAAAGAAAGGACAUGGGGGAAGUGGACCUGUUUAGAAGUGGUUCUUUGAAGCAGCUCUCAUCUGUGUUAUCAGGAAAUCGGCAGUUUGGUUUACAGGUCAGCAACAGCAGCUUGAUCCACUUGCAAACACUUCACAGAUACACCAGCAGUCCAGUUCGGGAGAGUCCGAAGAGCAAACAUGAAUCAGCAGUAGUGCCAUCACCUAACAGGGACAUCCAGGCCUCAGCCAGAUCAGCACAAGUCAGCAGGAGGGACCAGAACCAACAGGGACACCAGGAGUUCUUUGCUGUGCCUCUCUCAGUGAAGCAAAGAUCAUCAAAGAUGAGAGACCAAGAAGUAUUGCAGAGCUAGCUCUACAAGCAAGCCCCUCUCAGUCCUAUUUACACUCCCUCCAAAAAUCACGUGCUCUCCACAGCUCUUGCCUCAGCAUGUGAGUCUGUCUUAGCAAAACUCCACGAGUCUAUAUCAGCUGACAUCACUCUGCCAGUUGACCCAAGUCCUCAGAAGCUGCAAGAAGCCGCAGCAUACUACCAGAAGGUUUUUUUGGUGUAUUUCGAUUUCUGGAGUCCUGACAAAUGGCGCUCAACUACACAAUUUAAGGCAGACCAAUACUUGUGUGUUGUUAAUGAAGAAUCCGUCACCAUGUGUCCUUUCACGUGCUUGCUUUAGCAGAAAAUCCUUUCACGCGUGUCUGCUUCAGUGAAACAUUCCUUCACAAGUCUGCCUUAGCAAAACAUCCUUUCACCUGUGUCCACUUCAGGGAAAAACUCCUUCAUGUGUUUGUCCCAGCAAAACACCAUCCAACACAACUGACUUUCCAAAGAACCCUUCAACCUAAAAAAAAAAGAAGAAGACUCGGAAACCACCUUAGAAAUGCAUCUCACAAAAUACCUGCCAGGCCAUUAGAAAACUACAGAAAGAUUUUAAACACAUGUCUGAAAAUACCCUAAAUAUCCUAAAGACACACUUCUUUCCCCAGAAGUAAUCUAUAUAUGUAAUAUGAUUCCAAAUAAAAUUUCAACAGGGUCUUAAAAAAAU